rnacentral:lncRNA from 1 species
ACAUUUACAUUGACUUGAAAAUUUUUCAUUGCACCUACACACACAUUUUUUGUAGGUUUUCCUCACUUGGUGAAGACUGCAAUGUUGUUAAUACCUCUGAAGCAUUUUAGAGUUACCCAAACUCUAGAUCAGACCAAUAGCAUCUUCAACAAUUCAUUUGGGAGGUGAUUUGCCCCUAACUAUAAUCUUAACAAGAACAGUGUUUCUCCAAGCAUUUCAGAGUCUCUUAAUCAUGGUUCUUUUAUUUGUGAAUAUAUAAAAACAUUUUUA